rnacentral:lncRNA from 1 species
UAUAUUGGUUUCUUUAAUCUGAUACUUGUCUAAAGAGAUCAUUUUAAGUUUUGCUAAUCACGAGGUGACAUCAAAAUUCCUUCGAGUCUCAUUCAGUAUGCUUUCUUACUAUAUUACCUAAUUAAGUGACAAGAAGGCAAAAACAAAGCUGAAGCAUCAGAAUGUGCCGUCGAUCAAUAUUUUAGUUAAUAAACCAUGAAAUGGAAAAGGUUAGUUUGCUCUCUCCAAGAAACAUCAUAUCUUAAACCAUGUUCACACACGCCAUCUAAACCUAUGUGAUGCCUCUUUGUUCAGUUUUGAUGAUGUGUGUAUAGAGAAAAGGCAGCAUAAAGUCGGUCCAAAGAAAAUCGUGAAUAUUAACCUGGGAAGGGUGUGAAAAUUGAGCUGCAAGGAAAACCGGAGCAUCCUUUUCUUUUUUUCUCUCCUGAAAAUUUAUAUACAAUGAGAAAGUUCAUAUUAGCAUGUGGCAUACAUCAUGAAGGAAGCUGCAUUGAAUGAGUCAAGGGAAAUCCGAAACUGCAUGUCGAACCUUCAUCACCGCAUUCGCGCCAAAGUGAGCUCAAAUGAACCAUGGACUAUCAGUCAGUAUAAUAUCCAUAGAUAUAUCGUCAACCCUGUAACCAAAACUAUUAUAACCUUUCCAAGAUGCACUAUAACUUUAUGAAUCAUAAUUUAGCAACUGAAGAGUGGACAAGAAAAAAAAAAAAGCUCUUUGGUUUAGUUAGUUUGAAGCCAAAUUAUAAUCAUACAACUGAAGCCGAAAAGAUUCUAUGGGGUCCAGCUCCUAAUGAUUGAUGAUGUACAAUACGUGUAAUUCCAAUUCAAACGUCUUUCACUUGAUUGGCUUGACCUCUUAUUACUAUCUUGCAUAUUUUUAGAUGUUAUUAGUAGUCAGUCGAGCAUCGAUUUUUUCUAAAAAAAAUAAUUCAAAAUUCAUCUUUCUUUGUGCUAAAUGUUAUUUCUUACUAAACCAUCACUCCAAUUGUAGGUUGCCUGUUGCGCCUAAAGGUUGGAUAUAUGGUGAUAUGGUAAUGCCGAUUUGGGAAAGCAGGUGUACAGUGUGUGUAAAUUAAGAAAACAAUUUAUAA